CCUACGGGCGGCUGCAGUGAGGAAUAUUGGGCAAUGGGCGCAAGCCUGACCCAGCAACGCCGCGUGAAGGAAGAAGGCUUUCGGGUUGUAAACUUCUUUUCUCAGGGACGAAUAAAGUGACGGUACCUGCGGAAUAAGCCACGGCUAACUCCGUGCCAGCAGCCGCGGUAAUACGUAGGUGGCAAGAGUUAUCCGGAUUUAUUGGGUGUAAGGGGCGUGUAGGCGGGGGCGCAAGUCAGAUGUGAAAACUCAGGGCUCAACCCUGAGCCUGCAUUUGAAACUGUGUUUCUUGAGUGCUGGAGAGGCAAUCGGAAUUCCGUGUGUAGCGGUGAAAUGCGUAGAUAUACGGAGGAACACCAGUGGCGAAGGCGGAUUGCUGGACAGUAACUGACGCUGAGGCGCGAAAGCGUGGGGAGCAAACAGGAUUAGAUACCCCUGUAGUC
rnacentral:rRNA from 1 species